rnacentral:rRNA from 1 species
UACGGGGGGGGCAAGCGUUGUUCGGAAUUACUGGGCGUAAAGGGCUCGUAGGUGGCCAACUAAGUCAGACGUGAAAUCCCUCGGCUUAACCGGGGAACUGCGUCUGAUACUGGAUGGCUUGAGAUUGGGAGAGGGAUGCGGAAUUCCAGGUGUAGCGGUGAAAUGCGUAGAUAUCUGGAGGAACACCGGUGGCGAAGGCGGCAUCCUGGACCAGCACUGACACUGAGGAGCGAAAGCCAGGGGAGCAAACGGG